GCCUUAUCAAGAGCGGCGGAGGAACAGGUCCUGUGAAGCCCGGCAACCAUUCACACGAUAGUGAAACGGUGCUAAUUCCUGCGGAAGAGAUUCCGAGAGAUGAGGA
rnacentral:ncRNA from 2 species